CAAACAUUACUCUGGUAAAGGUUAUCAGAUCAACGGUCCUAUAACCACGUUUUCCGGAUUUCUUCUCUAAUAUGUUCAUUAAAAAGGUAGAUAAAGAGUUAUCCCAGUGAAUAUUGAGAUAUUCAACCAAUUUGCCAUACAUUGUGCGAAUAGUCGCAUAAGCUUUAAUCUGGUGGUUAAAAACUACUUAAUACCAAAAUGAUUUGAAUUUAAAAAGUACAUUUAUGAAGUGAACAUCACUUUGAAUACUUUUUAUUAAGUUAUUAAAAAACAUUGCUUAAAUGAAAUAUAAUUUUUGUAUUUACGUAACACAAUUUUUAAAACUAAUAUUUAUAACUAGUUAUACAUAAUCAGAACAGUACUACUUGAUGAUGAUAACUCUGUAUUACCUCAAGAAAUAUUUAUGUGUCACUGUAUGUUUGAGAGAAUGUGUAUUAAUGAACAAGAAAUCAUUGAUAUAUACAUGUAAUCUAUUCUUUCUGUAAACAAAGCCAUAGGUGCACACCUUAUUUGUCAUAAAAUGUUGAAAGCUACUAAAUUUACCAUUGUCAAACCUAUUUUUAUAUUGUUUAACCGCUCACUUACAGAAUCUGUUUUUCCUAUUAUGUGGAAACAAGCUAACGUUACUCCACUUUUCAAAAAAGACGACCCUUCUGUUUUUUCCAACUAUUGACCAGUUUUGUUUUUAAGUUGUAUUGGUAAAUUCAAGGCCGGAACGUAUUGUAUUUAAGCAUUUAUAUAACUUUAUUCACCGUAAUAAUAUGUUUUUAAAUACCAAGCCUGAUUUUUUCAAGGUCAUUCUACUGUUUUUCAAUCAUUAGAAACAUAUGGUGAUAUUGUUUGGAGAAUUGUUGAAGGGAAAUCAUGUUGCAUAGUGUUACCUUGUUUGAUUGGCACAAAGAACUUUUAUGUAAAUUGAAAUGUAUGGUAUUGGUGGAAAGGUGUAUAUUUGGUUGAAAAUCUACUUAGCGAAUCGGACACAAAGAGUUAUGUAUAAAAAAUGUAUUUUCUUCUACGGCACCAAUUCAUGCCGGUGUACCUCAAGGCUCCGUACUUGGGCCACUACUAUUUCUAAUUCAUGUAAUUUAAAUGGUGCAACAAGAUUUUGUAGAUUGUUCACUGAUGAUAACUGUUUGCAUUAUUCAUCAAAUUGUGUGAAACCUAUUGAAAAUUGUCAAUCAUGACAUAAUUAC
rnacentral:misc_RNA from 1 species